AGGAAGGAACGGAGGUCAGAAAACAAGCUUCGAGUUUUGGAACUGGUGUAGCAGCUUCUCCUGAAAAGUGCCCUAAACAAUGUUGAAUGAAGUGAAUUAUUCCAAGUCAGGUUAAGAGGUCGCAGGGUUGUGGCCCUUUAUUUUUGGUAUUCGUCCCUUCUUUGCUUGCCAUCUUCACAUCCUCUCACGUGGAAC